UGUUUGUAAUGGCUACAUUCACUCAAUAGUCGUCAAAGAGUCUAAGUUUUAUAAUGACAGACAACGUCUGUAGAGCAUAUUGCUCUUGAACUUUCUUUAAACGUUGUUACACUGGUUGGUAGAAUUAAAAAUGAUCUCCAUUUGCAUCAGAAAGAUAUCUCUCGCUUUACUGGUAAUUUUAUACGCAAUAUUCCUGCUUUCGUACGUACCAGGAUACACAGAAGCUGGACCAAAUAGCAAUAUAUCCACGUGCCACGUCUGUGACGAUGCCGUUGAUUUCAGUGUUCGUAAUGUAGUGUGCUGUUUUUUGACGUCGAGGUGUUGUGGGGACGAUGGAGUGAACUGAAAUUUCCACAGAGAAAGAAAACUGUGUGAAGACUCAUACUGUUGAAGUGAUAUAUUUGUCAGACUGAACUAUGCAUUAUAAUGUACUAAAAAUAUGAAAAAGAAAUUUCGCCACAUUUCUGCGGCUCAUUUGUGUUAUUACAUAUGUCAAUCGGAUCACCGGGCAAGAGAAAAAGAGGGCAAAUCAAAAAGUCUUUGCGCCUAUUUUUUAUUCGCCAAAAACAGGUACAUACAGGUAUUUACAACUAUACGUAGUGUACUACGUACCUUACGUCAUUUCUCAACAUAGUAACAACACCGGUUCAGACAUUUGUCCCAUCGCAGCACUAAACUAGAGAUCCCCCCAUCUUAGAAUUCUUCCGGCUGCUUGUGGAAUCACCGUCGGACUGCGUUCUUGGCUUUUGCACUGCCAGAAACUUCUUCAGUGGACUGAAAUCGUAAAAAAUCACUAGGGGCAAAGUAUGGACUGCAGGUGCAUUUAACUAUGAAUUGCAAUGAGCUUUUGUCCCUUGCUCCAUAGAAAACGACACUUUGCUGCUCAUAAGCUGUGGACAUCUAAAGAGUAACUGUCAUCUUAAAUGACUGAUAGCAGCUCUGUUCUUUGAAGCAAAGGCAGAUACGGCUGGUAUGGUUCAAGGAACUGCCGCUCUUGGGAAUGUAUAUGUUCGCUUUGUAUUCACAGCUGUAUUUUGGCUGAAAAAAAAAAUAGGCGCAAAGUCUUGUUGAUUUGCCCUUGUACUACCCAAUUUAAAGACAAAUGAAUGUCUUACAUUUCAAGUAAGCACCACAUGAGUGGAAGUAUGACUUUCAGCUGAGACAGCACUUGAGGAGGGAAAUACCAUUCAUUAAGAUUUGAAUAAUUUUGACCCAGACCGGGACAGCCAAAAUAGUGUCAGUGUCCGAAUUUGAGAAUGUCAGUAUAUUAUUGAUAAAUGUUUUCAAUCUGCUUACUUGUUCUUUCAUUGACUUGUACUUAAGUACUCUAACAAGAAAAGUUUAAAAUUUCAUCUGUUGUAUCAUGGAAUUCAAUCUCCUUGACGAUAGAAACUGUAAUGGUAACUGUAAUUUGUUUUUUGAAAGUCUAAGUUUCAAAAUCUAUCAUUUUGUACUUGUCCCAUUCCGUCGCACCAAAAACAAUAAUAAUUCUAAAACUGUUCAAUUAUUUUUUAUUGUUUUCAAUUACAUUUCUUACUUAAUAUGUAAUUUAUUACUGCAAGUUUUGGUAAAAACACUUAUUUGGUUUCAUUGAACUCUUUAAUUUUCUUUGCUUGGAAAGAAUUUUCAUGUUGUACAAGUACCAUUCCGUCACAAGCAUUUUAUUGCAUAUAUUUGAAUCAUUUUCUUUAAAAUUAUCAACUUGUAAUUUUAUAUGUUGUACCCCUAUGACAAAUCUUUACUAUUAAUAGCAAAACAAACAUUACUUAUUUGUUUUUAUGGAAUAAAACCUGCUGACAAACAUGUUUUGAAUCUCCGUUCCGUCACACGGAAUGUGGCCUAGCUAUCUCUUAAGAUUCAUUUUUUUAAAAAAGAUGAACACUUUUGAUAGUUGAUGUCUUCCAUUUUCGUAAAAAUUUCAGAAUGUAAUAAUGGUAUUAUGACAAUAAAAAGUGAAGUUUUUUUUUCUAAAACAAAAAUUUGUUUGUCCUUGAGUAGGGGUCAAAGUUUAAGGUCGUGAAAUAAAAGAGCUUCAAAAGCAAUGAGUGAACCAAGCCAAUUCUUUUAAAUAUGGAUACUUCUUGAUACAAGGUACAUGCUAGCAUAAAUACUUUGGUGGCUCACUCAUUGCUUUGAGGGCAAAGGUCAGUUGAAACUGCUACUUUUUUUUAGAUUUUUUGCCUUGUUUAGGGCCGGAUAUCUGCUAAAGCUGUGAGUAACGCUCAGAAAUAACUAUUCACCACAGUAUAGUACUAAGAAAAAUAUAUAAUAGCUUUCGUUUCUCUUGGCUUUAGUAGUUAAACAAUCACAAAGUCGAUGAUUUUUAAAAAAUAGCCAAGUUUAAAGGUCAAUAACUUUAAUCGUGAUGGGUCAACAACUUUGGAAGACAGUUGUAUUUAUAGUCUGAGUGGUGUAGUUUAAGGUCCAGGUUAGAAACCCCAUGGCAAAUAAUCAACAUUUUUAACGACGCGGUCUCAAAGUUGAUAAUUUUAAACAAAAAGAAUCACAAUUUUAGGUCAAUUUCUCUAAAACGCCUGAGUCAAUAACUUUGAGCAAGAGCUGAAAUUAUGCUCUACGUGGUGUAGUUUUAGACUCUUGUUAGAAAACCAUGAGAUCUAAUCAUCUUACUUAAACGGUUUCAAAAAUGAUUAUCCAUGGGCUUCUAACCUAGACCGUAAACUACACCACUUGGACUACAGCUGUGUCCCAAAGUUGUUGACUCGCCUUGAUCAAAGUUAUUGACCCUUAAA